rnacentral:lncRNA from 1 species
GAAUAACUUAUGAGAUGAUAUGACGCCUGGGCAGCACCAGAAUUGUUAAAAAUGGACUGACAGAAAUGUAUCUGCAGUGACUCUUUUCCUACUUCAGCCUUCAAAGGAACACAGCCACCCAUAUCCAGUCUGUAUCCUGGAAAGACUUAUGACUAACCAAAGAGACGGGAGACCAUGAAAAGAGUCAGUCAUGGAUUGAAGAGAACAGACAGACAUGGUCUCCCACAGUCUGGAAGUAGUUUUAAUGAAGAACAUGAUCAACCAGAAAGCAGAAGGAGGAUGUGUAGAGGAAAUGGACAAAACAAACAAAGAAGCAAACAAAUGGUACCUGGUUGCAGUCCUGUCUUGGGUUGGCCAAGAAUGUGAAUAAAUGUUAUAUGCCUGGAUCAAAUAUUUUCCACUUUUCUCUCUCUUUUUGCACUGAGUCUGUGAGUUAGGAAGAAGUACCAGGUGUUGUAGUGGGACAUAGAUCCUGGAAUGGUCCAGGACUGACAUGAGGAAGGCUAAGGGAGCCUUGGUGAGACAUGAGAAUUGGGAAUUCGGAGAAGGGAUGUACACAUGGUUUGGUACUGAAGUUACUGCCAUUUAAUGGUUAUAUUUAUAAAUAUUUUGAUUUUGAGAAGAUUAGAAGUGGCUGAGGAGAAAUGAAAGGCUCUGAGAGUGGUCAGGCAAGUGGGUGAUAGGAGAGGAGAAAGUGUGAGUGGAAAUCUGACAACUCAGCAGAUUCCUCAGUCUUUUUUCCCACUAGGUAAAGAAACAUUGUCUUUGGGUUGGUGGUAAGGGAAGACAGAAGAAAUGGAGAAAAAAGGUAGAGCAGAAACCUGAGCCACAGCUGGAUUGAGGGCCCAUUCACUGGUGAGAAUGUGUGUGUGUGUGACAGGGGUGGGGGGUGGGGUGGGAGGGUAGAGAUGGACUAAGUCUAUAUGGAAAUAUACUAAGAAUGUUAAAGAGUCAUAUAAUGUAAGGAUCAAUUGUAUGUAUUGUUUCCAUUUAUGUUUCAUGUCUUCCCUCCAGUCCUGCUUCCCUUCCUUCCUUCCAUCCCCUUUCUUUUUCUUUUUUUAAGUACUGAUUAGAGUAUAUAAGUUUUUCUUUUUCCCUUGCUAAGUAAAUGCCCAUCUACCCCGUGGUGUGCUGCCAAGGAAAUAAAUUCAUGUGUAUGUACA